rnacentral:rRNA from 1 species
GACGAACGCUGGCGGCGUGCUUAACACAUGCAAGUCGAGCGGUAAGGCCCCUUCGGGGGUACACGAGCGGCGAACGGGUGAGUAACACGUGGGUGACCUGCCCUCAGCUCUGGGAUAAGCCUGGGAAACCGGGUCUAAUACUGGAUAUGACUCCAUGACGCAUGUUGUGGGGUGGAAAGUCUUGUGCGGCUGAGGAUGGGCCCGCGGCCUAUCAGCCUGUUGGUGGGGUGAUGGCCUACCAAGGCGACGACGGGUAGCCGGCCUGAGAGGGCGACCGGCCACACUGGGACUGAGACACGGCCCAGACUCCUACGGGAGGCAGCAGUGGGGAAUCUUGCGCAAUGGGCGAAAGCCUGACGCAGCGACGCCGCGUGAGGGAUGACGGCCU